UACAGAGGUCUCAAGCGUUGUUCGGAUUCAUUGGGCGUAAAGGGUGCGUAGGCGGCGCGGUAAGUCGGGUGUGAAAUCUCGGAGCUUAACUCCGAAACUGCAUUCGAUACUGCCGUGCUUGAGGACUGGAGAGGAGACUGGAAUUUACGGUGUAGCGGUGAAAUGCGUAGAUAUCGUAAGGAAGACCAGUGGCGAAGGCGGGUCUCUGGACAGUUCCUGACGCUGAGGCAACGAAGGCCCAGGGGGAGCAAACAGG
rnacentral:rRNA from 1 species